AUGGCUGUGUCAUCUGCAUAUUGCAGGUUGCUAAUGAGUCUUCCACCAAUCCUGAUGCCACACUCUUUGCACAGUCCCACCCAAUCAUUUUGUGGGAGUUACCAGACCAUGGCUGAAAGGGCCAUAUAAUAGAAAUUCACUGCACUGCAGGUAGUGAAGGUGUUCUUUCAGCUUUUUAAGUUUUAUGAAAUAUUUGAAAGAUACAUGCAAAUGUUUUGCAAUGUUUACUUUCUUUUAUCUUGACUUGCACGUGGAGGGUGGGAGAUUAUAACACUUUCAGGGCUUAGACUCUGUAGAUCUUAACCUUGUCCUGAGAGAGCCUGAGUUCCAACUUCCUGAAGGGGAUGCAAAUCCAGAACCCAAGGACAAGGACUGCAGAAGAGCCCAGCUGCUGACAUUCUGGAAGAAGACCUUCGUGAGAGGAAGAGAAGGGGACAUCCUGGGAUGGGACAUGGGGGCACAGACAUUUCAUAGGCAAUGCCUGGGAGGGGAUAGACUGGAAAUGGUUAUGGGGCUUAGGGGUGACACAGAAUGCAACCCGAUACUGUGUGACCUUGGGUACAUCGCUGUCCCUCUCUGAACCUCAAAUGCCACUCUGGGAACAGGGGAGGGGCAUGCAGGACUGAAGGAAUUCAGGAUAACUUUCCAAGAGAUAAGGAGCUUUGGUGGUUCAGUGGUUAAGAGCUCGGCUGCUAACCAAAUGUUGGCAGUUUGAAUCCUCCAGCCACUCCUUGGAAACCCUAUGGGGAGUUCUACUUUGUCCUAUAGUUCUGAGUUAGAAUAGAGUCGAUGACAACGGGUUUGGGUUUUUUGUUUGUUUUUUCCCCAAGAGAUAAAGCCCUCUUGUUCUGGCCCUGCCAGAUGUUGCCGUGACAGAAAAAAAGCCUGAGUACAUGAACAGCUGGACAGUUGAGUGAGUCCCCUGCUUCUGCCAGAAUACCAAAAACUUUCUUGUUGACAAAUUUAUUCCAGUGGACACUUUAUUGUCCUCACAUCUCUCAGCUCUCUGCAUCAUCCCAUAGUUGACUUCUCCCUCUAGAAAUGCCGCUUCUUGGCUGUUGUGACCUCACUGCCUCCUGGUUUUCUUGCAACCUCAUGGAGCCCUUCUUCAUGGUCCCAUUUGCUAGCUCCUCUUCCUCUGUCUGACCUUCUAGUAGGUAUAGGGCUCCAAGUCUCAAUGGAGUGCAUGAAGAAAUGAAUAACCUGAAAGUCUCCUCUGCUUCCCUUCAUUCAUUCACUCUACAAAUACUUAGAGGAAGCUCACCAUUUAUAAAGGCUCCAUUUAGGUGCUUCAGAUACAGCAGUGAGCAAACCUGUCUCCAUCUUCACUGAGCUCACCUUCUAGCAGGUCAGAGACAAAAUGCAAAUACAUGAGUAGUGUCCAAGUGUGCAAAGUGCUGUUAUGAAAAAUAAAACAAUAUACAAGGAAUCAGGGAGAGUUAGUCUGAAUUAUAAGGGAGCAGUGGUGAGAAGGUGGCAUUUGGGGAGAGACCUGAUUGGAGAGAACCAUACAAGCAGUUAAUAGAGAGGCACACCCUGGCAGAGGAAAGAGCAAGCGCAAAGAUUCUGGACAGGAACAUGCUUAGUGAGGAAGAUGGGUCAUGUGGCUGGAGACAAAUAAGAGUUAGAGUGUUAGGAUAAGAGGCCAGAACUACAGGAAGAGACCAGGUUCUGCAGAGUCUCGGGUUUUAUGUCAGCAGGGGACUGAAAAUAUCUGAUUUAAAUGUUUCAAGAAUUACUCUGGCAACAGUGUGAAAAAUUGAGGGAAGGCAAGGGUGAAAUCGAGGAGACCAGUCUCCCCUCACUGCUUCUCUCCAGAAGAGCCUUGAAGAUGAAAACCCCCAGGCAGUGACAUAUGCCAUUCAAGAACUGGGUGGGGAGUGGCCUCCUCUCCUUCAUCCAUGUCCAGGGAAUUGCAGGACAUGAAGGACAGACAACUGAAGAGGACAGGCAGACAAAGAGUCAGGUGCAUCCUUUCCAUUCCUCCAGGCUUCCCCCACACAAACCACUAUUUGUCUCUUACUCUUACCCCACCCUCAGACUGAAGACCCCCAUGAUGUGACUAUGCCCAGCUGAGCUGCUUGAUACUCAAACAGGAGACAACCGCACCCCCUUCCUCCUAGACAUGAGACUCCCCGAGAUGGUCCCAGUAUGCAUGCUGCUCUCACCAUGCAUUAGCCCAGAAAAAACCCAGACCCCACGUUUAAGGAUGUGGCUAGCAGGGAACCUGGAAGGCACAGGACCUGCUUAUGGUCACUAACUAGUGAAUUCCUGAUACAGACCACCAGGAGAUUCUGGGAAAUAUUUUGAAGAAACCUGAUUCUGCAGUCAAAGACUACUAACAUCAAUAUAUUUUGAAAAUAAAGCAACAUGCUUCUAAAUAAUCAAUGAGCUAAAGUAGAGAAUAAAACAGAUGUGAAAGGAUAAAUGUAAAUAUUACACAACAAACAGAUAAAUUGGGAAAAUUACAAAUCUUAACUGAAAAUAUUACAAGAGGAAAAGCCUAAAAAUCAAUGACCUAAUGUAAACCUUCACUGAAAAGCACAAUUAAAUAUAAUUUUUUAAUCCAUUUCCUCAGCUAUCAUAUCCAGAAGUUAGAAAAAAUAGCAAAUUAAUUCAAUGAAAGUAGACUGAAAGAAAUAAUAAUGAUGAGAGUAAUUGCGAAGGAGAACAAAAAAUAGAAAAAGCCAAAAAAAAAAAGCUCAUUCUCAUAAACAUUAAUCACA